GCUGAAGACCUGGCUUUUGUUGGGUUGGAUGAGUGGCGAACGGGUGAGUAACACGUGAGUAACCUGCCCUCUUCUUUGGGAUAACGCCCGGAAACGGGUGCUAAUACUGGAUAUUCACUGGCCUUCGCAUGGGGGUUGGUGGAAAGGUUUGUUCUGGUGGGGGAUGGGCUCGCGGCCUAUCAGCUUGUUGGUGGGGUGAUGGCCUACCAAGGCUUUGACGGGUAGCCGGCCUGAGAGGGUGACCGGUCACAUUGGGACUGAGAUACGGCCCAGACUCCUACGGGAGGCAGCAGUGGGGAAUAUUGCACAAUGGGCGAAAGCCUGAUGCAGCGACGCCGCGUGAGGGAUGGAGGCCUUCGGGUUGUAAACCUCUUUCGCUCAUGGUCAAGCCGCAACUGUGGGUUGUGGUGAGGGUAGUGGGUAAAGAAGCGCCGGCUAACUACGUGCCAGCAGCCGCGGUAAUACGUAGGGCGCGAGCGUUGUCCGGAAUUAUUGGGCGUAAAGGGCUUGUAGGCGGUUGGUCGCGUCUGCCGUGAAAUUCUCUGGCUUAACUGGGGGCGUGCGGUGGGUACGGGCUGACUUGAGUGCGGUAGGGGAGACUGGAACUCCUGGUGUAGCGGUGGAAUGCGCAGAUAUCAGGAAGAACACCGGUGGCGAAGGCGGGUCUCUGGGCCGUUACUGACGCUGAGGAGCGAAAGCGUGGGGAGCGAACAGGAUUAGAUACCCUGGUAGUCCACGCUGUAAACGUUGGGCACUAGGUGUGGGGGCCACCCGUGGUUUCUGCGCC
rnacentral:rRNA from 1 species